UAUGUAUUCAUUACAGUUUGCUUAUUUCUCAUCGGCAUGCAUAUUAUGAAAUCUCAUGGCAACUAUACUUUCUGUGUUUUUUUAUGGCAACUUAGCAAGAUGUUAAGAUUCUCACCACAUAAAUGUGGUGUAUGAGACAUAUUCCAAUUCAGAUAAGCAGAGAACCUAAAAUCUCAUCUUGAAGCUGCUGUGAGGUUAUUGAUAUGCUGGGCUACUUUUAAUUAUCCAGAACAAAAUUGCAAAAUCACUUUAGUUCUCUGUCAGAAUUACACUUCUAGUCUUAGAGGCUUUAAUAGAUGGCGCAUAGUGUGGGACCAGAUCUAGCUAUUUCGGACUUGUAAAUUUGGAAGGGAUGAGAAACAGUAUAUCUUUUACUCCAAAAUGAAAGGACUUAAAUGACACUGAAAUUGUUUUCUUGUAGACUUUGCCAAGUGUUGAUUUCUUGCUUUAUCAACACCUUCUAACUAGCCCAUGAUAUGAUUUAUGUUGAUGGUUCUGAGUAUGAUGAGCAUUUGUGCUUGUAGGGUGGUAUGUCAAAUGAG
rnacentral:misc_RNA from 1 species